GUGUCAGCAGCCGCGGUAAUACGUAGGUGGCAAGCGUUGUCCGGAUUUAUUGGGUUUAAAGGGUGCGUAGGCGGCCCUGUAAGUCAGUUGUGAAAUACGGCAGCUUAACUGUCGAGGUGCAAUUGAUACUGCAGGGCUUGAGUACUGAUGAGGUAGGCGGAAUGGACGGUGUAGCGGUGAAAUGCUUAGAGAUCGUCCAGAACACCGAUAGCGAAGGCAGCUUACUAAGGAGUAACUGACGCUGAGGCACGAAAGUGUGGGGAUCAAACAGGAUUAGAUACCCGAGUAGUCC
rnacentral:rRNA from 1 species